GCUUUUUGGCCAUUUUCCCCUGAGAGCGGCCUCGGAGAUGGCUGUGAAUGUCCUAAGCUGGGAGCUGCAAGGGAGAAUUCCUGUCAUUCCUGGCCUCAGCUCUGCAGGGACCCAGGGCGAGGCACGCCUGGGCCCCAGGUGUGGCGUCUCCGUCCCCAUCUGGUUUUAGGUAGGAGGCUGCCGUCAGGUAGUUGACGAUGUCCCUAACAGCGAAUUCCAGGGCGCCCGUGUAGCAGGAGAGGAGCAGGUCGGCCACAAUGCGUGCACUGUGCAUCAGGGAGACCUGCAGCUCCGAGCUGGGGUUCAGCAGGAACUGAUCCCGCAGGAACGACUGACAAGGUCCAGCCUUAAACAAAACUUGCCUUCAGCACUGCGCCUGGGCCUUCUCUUUCUCCGUCUCAGACUAAGUUGCAGUCUCCACAGCUUCAGCGACAGCACUUAGGAGUCUCUUGAAGACUGGUCCCUUCUCUUCCACUUCCUCGAACCUGUUACCUACACUCACUCCCCACCCAUCCAAGUCUGUGUGAAGAUGCCACUGUUUCCUGCCAACUGGAUUUCUUUUAUAUGUCCUUCAGGAGACUAGUGCAAUUUUCCUUACAUUUCAAUUCUGAUGAAGUGUCUUAUGUGUUCAAUAUCUGGUUUCCCCAUGAGACUAUAAACAACUUCUUGGUUGCAGGAA